rnacentral:misc_RNA from 1 species
AUACUGUAAUAACAUGUUUGAGUAUAAUAUGCGAUAGAGAAUCAAAAGGCCAUACGAUUCAAAACAAGAAAUCGUAAAAAUAUAUCUUACACAUCCUAUAUGAGUGGCAGCCAAUCGCUUUCAAGAAAUUGUCGACGAAUACGGACAUUCAGGACAACGGUGGUAUUUCAGCAAUGUCCACAACGAAACGUCGAUUGUUUGAAGCCUUGACGCUAUUCAACGUUCCAAGAAUUUUCAAGAAAUACAUUUAACAUUGUUAGUCUAGACUAUGUACGUAU